GCAAGGGGUCCAUCUAGAGAAGGAUCUCGUCAUGUUCCACCACAGUCUAACUUAAUUCUCUGUGGAAAGAGAUAAUGGAUGGCACUACAAGAAUUAUGAUAUGUACCAACACACAAAUAGCCUGCGUUGCUAUGGUUUUGAACUUUCUCCAAUAAAACCUGUGGUUCUGUUACUAAACAGCUUUUCUUCAACGCACAUUCAAUGUGCAUAGAGAACACAUCUUUUAUCAACAGAAGAUCAUUAUGCAUUAGAGAAUUGUUUCGAUUUAUAGCCUUCCCUAAUGCAAGAGCAUGCCUGCGUUGGAGAAGCUAUUAGCGUUUGGGGCAUUACAAACGCAUUUUCUGCUUUGUCUGGGAUAUCCAUCAUUCAAACGCAGUUCACUCAUGUGUUAGGGAAAACCCAGAGCUGUACCCACUUUUCAAACGCAGUUUCCAAGCUGACUCCUGCGUUAGGAAAAACCCCAAGCUGUGUACCGACUUUUCAGAUGCAGUUUUCAUCUGCGUUGGGGGAAAAUACCCGCGAAAUGUAUAGAUUAAACUUUCCAUGUUCUUAUAGUUGCUUGUUCUUCUCCUGCCAUGAUCCUUUCUUCUCACGCUGCUGGCUUCUCCGCUGCUAUUUAUUCUAAUUGAUCGCCCCCAGAGCUUGAAGCAGAGGAGUCGAAUCUUAUGAAGAGGCAAAGUAGUGAACCUUCGAUCAUCUUCUUCAGCACAGGGAAGCUCCAGGUGUUUAUGCAUUGCUGUCACCAGACAGGAGAUCACUGGAUCCAGUGUCUGAAUUUUCAUCUGCAUUAAAAAAGGAAAGCCAGACAAUUAAGAGGAGCCUGUGCCUGUGGAGGAUGAUUUGAAGUUACCAGGGACGUUUGAUGUCUUCAGCCUUUUCUUUUGUUAGUCCCUUUUGCUGCUCCUCCACACCAACUGCUAUCUCUUUCUCAAUAUAAGGCCAACUGGAGGUCUUGUGUGGGUUUGAUGGCCCAAGUGCUGCUACAGAUAUGCUCGUGCCUAAACAGCUGCUGCCAUUUGUACUGCCUCUAGAGUUUUAGAAUCCACAAACUGAAGCCUUCCUGCAACUUUUGGGGCUUCCUUACCUUCUUGAUAGUUCACCAACACGGGGUCAACCAAUCGAGACACUGUUGUUAAACUUUUAGCAAGACACACUGGCAAUGUCAAUAUACAUUGAACUGUCUUUUUAUUUGUCUAUUGAUGUUUCUUUCUAACUAAUUUUGCUUUUCAGUCAAUUGAGACUGUGUCAAAGGUGAUGCGGAGGGCAUUAUAUUGAAUCCCCAAAAAGCUAAAGAGUGAAUAUAGCAAUCUGCUAUACGCUUCACCUCCUAAAGGAGAAGAGUUCUUGUGUGGUGCAUCCAUGGGAACAUAUCAGUAUGGAGGCGAAAACGAGGCCAUGGCUAUUAGCCUAGAGAACUUGUAUUACCAACAAAUGUUAGCAUCUAGCACCAGCUAGCUUUUCAGCCACUGCAGGAAGAUGGCAUUUGCUUGAAGACAAACCACGAGUUUUCCCAUUCAUCAUUAUGUGAUGCCUCUUCCUCAUACGUGGCUUAGCUGCCACUUCACAGUUAAGGUGGCAUCUUGGAUGGAGCAGAAACAAUAACAAGCUCGUGAACCCACCUGGCCUUAGCCAGGAAUAAGCUUUGUCACAUGGGUACUGCUGUAAAGGCAGCGUACCCGUACCGGCCAGGUACGACACUGGUGCUGGUACUGGUACUGUCCUGGGUACCUCUUGAGUACUGGUCAAAUAGUACCGGAUAUGGUCAACGUACCCAGGACUCUAUCCAUCCAAUUUAAAACAUGAUCAAAGUU